UCCUAAUAACGGAUCUUCGACACAGCGUUUGCUCCCUUUGGUCAGAAAAAAUAUGAGUUUAAAUAACCAAUACAUUGAGUCAAAUAGAUAGAUAGAUAGAUAGAUAGAUAGAUAGAUAGAUAGAUAGAUAGAUAGAUAGAUAGAUAGAUAGAUAGAUAGAUAGAUAGAUAGAUAGAUAGAUGUUUUUAUAAUGUUUAAAAGGGGCAAGGAGCCCCACAAUUAGUCACGACCCAAACAGACCUGUUGAGCAGCAGUCACGACCAUCAUCCUACAUCCUGGUAACAUCGUGAGCAUGUCAGCAGGAUGUAACAUGCUCACGAACUAAGCCUCUUUAAGGAAACAGCACCUGUGUCCGUGUUUUUUGACUCUCAGCGCUGGAUACGUCUUGCUGGCAUGAUCCGAAGAGAAGCGGUGCUUUCCCGGGUCAUUAGCCGCGUCACCUGCUCCAGACUGAGACCAGCCACUGCCUCUCCAUUCACCUGCAGAAUUUCAUCACCAAUGCCAAGGAGACCUACAUAGGGGCCUUCACCACCUGCUUCACCCACUUUCUCUACAUAUACGCCUGGGAAGGAAACAGGGGAAGAGGGGAAAAGGGAAACAGAUUAUGUUUAAUGCACCAUGCAACAGAUAUAUGCAAAAUAUAUCACUGAAGGAUAACCUGUCUAUUAUCUAAGAAAAUAAAGUAACGAAAAUUAAAUAACAGCACGAUGUUACCUGUAUCUGGUCGACCUUUGCCCCUUGAGAUGACGAAACCAAAGGGACCGUUUGGGGGUCUAACGAGCUCCAGGAGGAGGGUCCCAUCAGGGAAAGCGUGUGUGACCCGGCCCACCGGACGAGCAAUUCUAGAGAGGAGGCUUUGCGCAAUUGGGCCAGUGGCAGCACCUAGUGCUCUGCUCUGAGGUCUUCAGCCCGAGACAUACCGAGGCCACGAAGAGCAGGACGACACUCGGGAACAGAGCCAAGGUCCCCACUCAGACCUGCUGAGAAAUUGAACACUCACUCACCUUGUCCAUCUGGAGUGGCAUCCCAGAUUUCAGCAGCUGGCAGGUCCGAGUUGUGCCGGGCUGGGGAGUACCUCAGGGUUGAGGGCCUGAUACAGGGCACCGGG